AACCGGGGGAACUGAAACAUCUAAGUACCCCGAGGAAAAGAAAUCAACCGAGAUUCCCCCAGUAGCGGCGAGCGAACGGGGAGCAGCCCAGAGCCUGAAUCAGUGUGUGUGUUAGUGGAAGCGUCUGGAAAGGCGUGCGAUACAGGGUGACAGCCCCGUACACAAAAAUGCACAUAUUGUGAGCUCGAUGAGUAGGGCGGGACACGUGGUAUCCUGUCUGAAUAUGGGGGGACCAUCCUCCAAGGCUAAAUACUCCUGACUGACCGAUAGUGAACCAGUACCGUGAGGGAAAGGCGAAAAGAACCCCGGCGAGGGGAGUGAAAAAGAACCUGAAACCGUGUACGUACAAGCAGUGGGAGCACGCUUAGGCGUGUGACUGCGUACCUUUUGUAUAAUGGGUCAGCGACUUAUAUUCUGUAGCAAGGUUAACCGAAUAGGGGAGCCGAAGGGAAACCGAGUCUUAACUGGGCGUUAAGUUGCAGGGUAUAGACCCGAAACCCGGUGAUCUAGCCAUGGGCAGGUUGAAGGUUGGGUAACACUAACUGGAGGACCGAACCGACUAAUGUUGAAAAAUUAGCGGAUGACUUGUGGCUGGGGGUGAAAGGCCAAUCAAACCGGGAGAUAGCUGGUUCUCCCCGAAAGCUAUUUAGGUAGCGCCUCGUGAAUUCAUCUCCGGGGGUAGAGCACUGUUUCGGCAAGGGGGUCAUCCCGACUUACCAACCCGAUGCAAACUGCGAAUACCGGAGAAUGUUAUCACGGGAGACACACGGCGGGUGCUAACGUCCGUCGUGAAGAGGGAAACAACCCAGACCGCCAGCUAAGGUCCCAAAGUCAUGGUUAAGUGGGAAACGAUGUGGGAAGGCCCAGACAGCCAGGAUGUUGGCUUAGAAGCAGCCAUCAUUUAAAGAAAGCGUAAUAGCUCACUGGUCGAGUCGGCCUGCGCG
rnacentral:rRNA from 1 species